rnacentral:rRNA from 1 species
GACGAACGUUGGCGGCGUGCUUAACACAUGCAAGUCGAACGGAAAGGCCCUGCUUUUGUGGGGUGCUCGAGUGGCGAACGGGUGAGUAACACGUGAGUAACCUGCCCUUGACUUUGGGAUAACUUCAGGAAACUGGGGCUAAUACCGGAUAGGAGCUCCUGCUGCAUGGUGGGGGUUGGAAAGUUUCGGCGGUUGGGGAUGGACUCGCGGCUUAUCAGCUUGUUGGUGGGGUAGUGGCUUACCAAGGCUUUGACGGGUAGCCGGCCUGAGAGGGUGACCGGCCACAUUGGGACUGAGAUACGGCCCAGACUCCUACGGGAGGCAGCAGUGGGGAAUAUUGCACAAUGGGCGGAAGCCUGAUGCAGCAACGCCGCGUGCGGGAUGACGGCCUUCGGGUUGUAAACCGCUUUCGCCUGUGACGAAGCGUGAGUGACGGUAAUGGGUAAAGAAGCACCGGCUAACUACGUGCCAGCAGCCGCGGUGAUACGUAGGGUGCGAGCGUUGUCCGGAUUUAUUGGGCGUAAAGGGCUCGUAGGUGGUUGAUCGCGUCGGAAGUGUAAUCUUGGGGCUUAACCCUGAGCGUGCUUUCGAUACGGGUUGACUUGAGGAAGGUAGGGGAGAAUGGAAUUCCUGGUGGAGCGGUGGAAUGCGCAGAUAUCAGGAGGAGCACCAGUGGCGAAGGCGGUUCUCUGGGCCUUUCCUGACGCUGAGGAGCGAAAGCGUGGGGAGCGAACAGGCUUAGAUACCCUGGUAGUCCACGCUGUAAACGGUGGGUACUAGGUGUGGGGUCCAUUCCACGGGUUCCGUGCCGUAGCUAACGCUUUAAGUACCCCGCCUGGGGAGUACGGCCGCAAGGCUAAAACUCAAAGGAAUUGACGGGGCCCCGCACAAGCGGCGGAGCAUGCGGAUUAAUUCGAUGCAACGCGUAGAACCUUACCUGGGUUUGACAUGGAUCGGGAGUGCUCAGAGAUGGGUGUGCCUCUUUUGGGGUCGGUUCACAGGUGGUGCAUGCCUGUCGUCAGCUCGUGUCGUGAGAUGUUGGGUUAAGUCCCGCAACGAGCGCAACCCUUGUUCACUGUUGCCAGCACGUUAUGGUGGAGACUCAGUGGAGACCGCCGGGGUCAACUCGGAGGAAGGUGGGGAUGACGUCAAGUCAUCAUGCCCCUUAUGUCCAGGGCUUCACGCAUGCUACAAUGGCUGGUACAGAGAGUGGCGAGCCUGUGAGGGUGAGCGAAUCUCGGAAAGCCGGUCUCAGUUCGGAUUGGGGUCUGCAACUCGACCUCAUGAAGUCGGAGUCGCUAGUAAUCGCAGAUCAGCAACGCUGCGGUGAAUACGUUCCCGGG